CUGCUCAAUGAUUUUUUAAAUUGCUGUGGUAUUUUGACUAUACGAAGGUAUUGAAAUAAGGUUUUAAAUGAAUGCUAAGAGAAUGGUUUAACAAUUAAAUUCUUUCUUUAAAUUAAAAAUUGAAGUUAAUUUUGUUGUGAGGAAGCAACAAUGAAAAUUAGGGACAAGAAGACCCUAUGAAUUUGAUAAUAAUUAUUUAUUAAUUUUUUAAAUAAUUAUUUUUGUUGGGGCGACAAAAAAAGAAUAUGUAUC
rnacentral:rRNA from 1 species